ACGAACGCUGGCGGCGUGCUUAACACAUGCAAGUCGAACGGUGAAGCGCCUUCCUUUUUGGUGGGUGUGGAUGAGUGGCGAACGGGUGAGUAACACGUGAGUAACCUGCCCCCUUCUUCUGGAUAACCGCAUGAAAGUGUGGCUAAUACGGGAUAUUCUGGGUCUGUCGCAUGAUGGGUCUGGGAAAGAUAUUGUUUCGGUGGGGGAUGGGCUCGCGGCCUAUCAGCUUGUUGGUGGGGUGAUGGCCUACCAAGGCGGUGACGGGUAGCCGGCCUGAGAGGGUGGACGGUCACACUGGGACUGAGACACGGACCAGACUCCUACGGGAGGCAGCAGUGGGGAAUAUUGCACAAUGGGCGCAAGGCUGAUGCAGCGACGCCGCGGGAGGGAUGGAGGCCUUCGGGUUGUGAACCUCUUUCGCCAGUGAAGCAGGCCUGCCUCGUUUGUGGGUGGGUUGACGGUAGCUGGAUAAGAAGCGCCGGCUAACUACGUG
rnacentral:rRNA from 1 species